rnacentral:rRNA from 1 species
AUUGAACGCUGGCGGCAGGCCUAACACAUGCAAGUCGAGCGAGCGGCGGACGGGUGAGUAAUGGCUGGGAAACUGCCUGAUGGAGGGGGAUAACUACUGGAAACGGUAGCUAAUACCGCAUACCAUCAGAUGUGCCCAGAUGGGAUUAGCUAGUAGGUGGGGUAACGGCUUACCUAGGCGACGAUCCCUAGCUGGUCUGAGAGGAUGACCAGCCACACUGGGACGGAGACACGGCCCAGACUCCUACGGGAGGCAGCAGUGGGGAAUAUUGCACAAGGGGCGCAAGCCUGAUGCAGCCAUGCCGCGGGUGUGAAGAAGGCCUUCGGGUUGUAAAGCACUUUCAGCGGGGAGGCGUUACCCACAGAAGAAGCACCGGCUAACUCCGUGCCAGCAGCCGCGGUAAUAC